AAUCAACGCUGGCGGCGCGCCUAACACAUGCAAGUCGAACGAGAACGGCUUCAGCAAUGGGGCCUAGUACAGUGGCGAACGGGUGAGUAACACGUUAGUGACCUACCCUCAAGUGGGGGAUAACCCGGGGAAACCUGGGCUAAUACCGCAUGAUAUCCGCAAGGAUCAAAGGAGCAAUUCGCUCGAGGCUGGGCACGCGGCCGAGUAGCUACGUGGCGAGGUAACGGCCCACCAAUGCCCUGAGCGGUAGCCGGUCUGAGAGGCGGCACGGACACACUGGAAAUGAAACACGGUCCAGACUCCUACGGGAGGCAGCAGUGGGGAAUCUUGCACAAUGGGGGAAACCCUGAUGCAGCGACGCCGCGUGGGUGAUGAAGCUCUUCGGAGUGUAAAGCCCUUUCGGCAGGGAAGAGAUAAGACGGUACCUGCAAAAGAAGCCCCGGCUAACUACGUGCCAGCCGCCGCAGUAAAAC
rnacentral:rRNA from 1 species